CUUUCCUGUCCUAUUAUCCUCCAAUGGCUAAUUCGCAGCAAAUCGAAACCUCCAUAAACCCUAGCCCUAAUCCUCCUCCUCCGGGAUCCCCACCGCCGGCUGCCGCCGUUGUUUCUCGACCGUCAGAUGAUGAAACGAAUCGUUCCGCCACCGCUAAACGUUCACGGGAGGAAUACGCCCCUGCCGCCACGGACGAGGCUGGUUUGUCUGGUGACGAUGUGCCGCCGUUGAAGAAGCGGGUUAAGGUUUCUCAAGAUGUAGUGUACCGUAUUGUUGUUCCUUCAAGACAGAUCGGGAAAGUUAUUGGUAAAGCAGGGCAUCGUAUACAGAAGAUUCGUGAAGAAACUAAAGCUACUAUCAAAGUUGCUGAUGCUAUCGCUCGUCAUGAAGAGCGAGUAAUUAUCAUUAGCUCCAGGGACAAUGAUGAUAUGUUCAGUGACGCGGAGAAUGCCCUUCAUCAAAUUGUGUCACUUAUUUUAAAGGAUGAUGGCAACCUUGAUGCGCAAAAAGUUGGUACUGGACAUGUGGCAGCAAACACGGUAAGGUUCUUGAUUGCUGGUUCUCAAGCAGGUGGUUUGAUAGGAAUGUCUGGUCAAAAUAUUGAAACUUUGAGGAAUUCUUCUGGAGCUACGAUCACAGUUCUUGCUCAACAUCAGUUGCCUUUGUGUGCAUCUGCUCAUGAGUCUGACCGUGUAGUACAGCUUGCUGGAGACAUCCCUGCAGUCUUGAGAGCUGUGGUAGAAAUUGGCUGUCAAUUGAG
rnacentral:misc_RNA from 1 species